AACGAACGCUGGCGGCAUGCCUAACACAUGCAAGUCGAACGAGACCUUCGGGUCUAUGGGCGCACGGGUGCGUAACGCGUGGGAACCUUCCCUUAGGGUCGGAAUAACUCCCCGAAAGGGGUGCUAAUACCGGAUAAUGGCUUCGGACCAAAGAUUUAUCGCCUUUGGAUGGGCCCGCGUUGGAUUAGCUAGUUGGUAGGGUAAAAGCCUACCAAGGCGACGAUCCAUAGCUGGUCUGAGAGGAUGAUCAGCCACACUGGGACUGAGACACGGCCCAGACUCCUACGGGAGGCAGCAGUGGGGAAUAUUGGACAAUGGGCGAAAGCCUGAUCCAGCAAUGCCGCGUGAGUGAUGAAGGCCUUAGGGUUGUAAAGCUCUUUUAACAGGGAUGAUAAUGACAGUAACGGGAGAAUAAGCUCCGGCUAACUCCGUG
rnacentral:rRNA from 1 species